AGUGAACGCUGGCGGUAGGCCUAACACAUGCAAGUCGAACGGCAGCACAGUAAGAGCUUGCUCUUACGGGUGGCGAGUGGCGGACGGGUGAGGAAUACAUCGGAAUCUACUUUUUCGUGGGGGAUAACGUAGGGAAACUUACGCUAAUACCGCAUACGACCUACGGGUGAAAGCAGGGGAUCUUCGGACCUUGCGCGAUUGAAUGAGCCGAUGUCGGAUUAGCUAGUUGGCGGGGUAAAGGCCCACCAAGGCGACGAUCCGUAGCUGGUCUGAGAGGAUGAUCAGCCACACUGGAACAGAGACACGGUCCAGACUCCUACGGGAGGCAGCAGUGGGGAAUAUUGGACAAUGGGCGCAAGCCUGAUCCAGCCAUACCGAGUGGGUGAAGAAGGCCUUCGGGUUGUAAAGCCCUUUUGUUGGGAAAGAAAAGCAGCAGGUUAAUACCCCGCUGUUCUGACGGUACCCAAAGAAUAAGCACCGGCUAACUUCGUG
rnacentral:rRNA from 1 species